rnacentral:ribozyme from 1 species
UCGGAAUUGUUAGAUAUGCGGGCCCUGCAACAGAAACGAUUAGAACAAGACGAUGUAGCGGAACGAUUACGUAUUGAAGAAACAAAGGCUGCGUUACAAAAAGCCAAACAAGGGAUGGAACGAG